rnacentral:misc_RNA from 1 species
ACUCUUCAACCCCCAACUUUUCUUUAUUGAAAUUUUGGCGCGGCUUGGUUUCUGAACGUUUUUUAUGCUGGAGAUCACCCUUUGGGUGGAAUCGAAGCUCGUUCGUAAUACAUUAGCAUCCUAAUCUUCGAGAUCAGAUUGACUCGGCGUAAUAGACUAUUCGCUGAGGACAUGGCCCCCCGUCAAAAAGGGAGUUGUGGCUGGACUUGAAAAGUUGGAAGCUUACAAAACCCGACAAUUUAGUCAAAUCAUUUUCUAAG